AUUGUUACAAAUUGUCAAUACUUAAUAUUAUCCACUAUUAUUAAAAAUAAUUAUAUUGAAUUUCGAUUAAUAUAUUUUUCUAAUGUCACGAGGUGCUCUGCGGAUCCGGAAUAGAAUCUGCUGCCAUCCCACGAAUGUUUCAUGGGCUAUCUGUUCCCGACUGGUCGGGCCUUGUUUCACAUCUCCCGUCCCCUUCUAGGCCUGAACGAACCUACGAUGGCACCUCCUUCAAUCAACUUCUGACAAAAGUGAUAAAAAGCUUAAAGAUGAAGACAAGAGAAGUUAAAAGUUAUUAAGGAUGUUUCAAUAACGACUACAUAACAACAAAUAAAUGUCCACAAAAACCUGACACCUCUUUGUUUCGAAUCUGCGAUAACGGCCAACUGUAAACGGCGGACGGAUUGGUUAGGCGUCAGACUACAGCUCAGAGUAACAGUCAGGAAUUUUAUUUGAGGUUCUGUCCCGGAUAUGUAACACCACGUCCAUCUGGACACCCAUUUGUGAAACUGGUCGAAAUCACGAUGGACUUAAAAAGGCCCUUUUAAGGCCUACAGAGCGGAACGAGUAAGAAAAACUCUUUAAAAGCGAUCAAUUUUUGGAACUUUUUAAAAUGCGUAUAAAAUAACCUAGAAACAACGGACAGAUUUUAUGUUUCCGUCAGUGGCCAUUCUUCAGAGGUUUGAUUGUGUUAUAAAUUAGUGCUGUCUCUUUUUCGUUUGUUUUUUUAUCAACAUAUUAAAAAAUAAUAAUUAUAUUAA